UUACACAUUCACCCUGCUGAACUGCUCCCCUUCUUGCCAGAUGUCUGCUUGGAACAACCUGUCCAGCAGCAUCUCCUGGUUUCCACCAGCAUCUCCUGCUUUCUGCCACACCUCCCUUAAGCAAUUGCAGCACCAGCGCUUUGGUUCCUUGAAUGCGGAGAUACUUCUCCUGAAGAACUCCAAGCUGUUGACAGGACUCAUCCCUGACGCCAUUUAGCAGCUCGUCAUUGUUGCUGGAGGGGAGAGCGCCUCCGGGGCUCAACGACGUGGCAAACACCGCCGGGUGAGCGGACUGGAUAAGGCCUUCCAACCCAAACCAUUUCAUGAUUCUAUGAUACCAUGGGAUGAUUUUGCAAGGAGACAGCGACCUGGAGCAUGGCUCGCUCCUGUCCCCUGUGAGUUGCUGACUGGGAAGGUGCAGGACCCACUGUGAAUGAGUUUGGAAGAAAAUAUCCCAGCAUCUGACUUGCCAGGAGCUUCUGUCAAGCAGAAACUCUGCAUGAAUUUGCAACGUGCACUUGCUCUUCCCAAGAGUUACAAAUCAUCCAGACAGCUGCAGCUAAAAGGUGUCCCAGCAAGUGGGGAAAUCCUGUUUGCAAAGAUGUGAUGCUGGAGGACAGAGCAGGUACCAGAUUUCUCUGUAAACCACCCUGCUAAAAAGUUCUGUAUCUGUCUAGUUGCACCCCUGGAGGUGGGAGCCCUCCUGGGGUCUCCAGGACAGCCUGGCUCCAUCCCACGAGGGCACAGCACAGCUUGGGCAGAAAGGGCGACCGGAGCUGCUGGGGUGGCAGGGCUUUGUUUUGUGUCCCUCAUUAGCAGCCCUAAUUAGAAAGUUCCUUAUGCCUUUCAAAUUCAGUGCUUGCUGUAGGGGCAGUCUUCCUAUUGAUUGAACUACAAAAGUAGAUAAACCCCACAUAUUUCUAAGGAGAAAGGCCAAAUAUUGCUACUGGGAGAGAACUGAUACCAUAUAAAUAGUGAAUAAUGCUUCUAAUUACACAGGCUUUCAUUUUCUGGCAGUUUGGCUGAUUACAUCCAGUUGUCCAGGGCGGAUCUUCAGUUGAGCACCUGGCCUUUGUUUUAAAGAUGGAAAAAAAUGCCAAAAGACCCACUACUAUUAAAAAAGUUGUUAAAGUGCUCUUUUUAAGAUGGGGAAACCUUUGGGUGGGAUUCACAGCCCGCAGCUUGUGCCACCCA